UGAUGCAGCGACGCCGCGUGAGUGAUGAAGGCCUUCGGGUCGUAAAGCUCUGUUGAAUGGGAAUAAAAAAAUGAAGGUACCAUUUAGAAAGGAUCGGCUAACUUCGUGCCAGCAGCCGCGGUAAUACGAGGGAUCCUAGCGUUGUUCGGAAUCAUUGGGCGUAAAGAGUAUGUAGGCGGCCUAGUAAGUCAGUUGUGAAAGCCCCCGGGCUCAACCCGGGAAGUGCAAUUGAUACUGCUUGGCUUGAAUGUGGAAGAGGGCAGUAGAAUUCCAGGUGUAGUGGUGAAAUACGUAGAUAUCUGGAGGAAUACCGGUGGCGAAGGCGGCUGCCUGGUCCUACAUUGACGCUGAGAUACGAAAGCGUGGGGAGCAAACAGGAUUAGAUACCCUGGUAGUCCACGCUGUAAACGAUGAACACUUGUUGUUGGAGGUAUUGACCCCUUCAGUGACGAAGCUAACGCGUUAAGUGUUCCGCCUGGGGAGUACGGUCGCAAGAUUA
rnacentral:rRNA from 1 species